rnacentral:rRNA from 1 species
CAGCAGCCGCGGUAAUACGAAGGUCCCGAGCGUUGUUCGGAAUCACUGGGCGUAAAGGGAGCGUAGGCGGCGUGGUAAGUCAGAUGUGAAAUCCCGGGGCUCAACCCCGGAACUGCAUCCGAUACUGCCAUGCUAGAGGAUUGGAGAGGUAGCUGGAAUUCUUGGUGUAGCGGUGAAAUGCGUAGAGAUCGGGAGGAACAUCAGUGGCGAAGGCGGCCAUCUGGGACAACACUGACGCUGAGGCACGAAAGCGUGGGGAGCAAACAGGAUUAGAUACCCGAGUAGUCCCUGUCUCUUAUAC